rnacentral:rRNA from 1 species
AGUCGCGUGCGCAGUUCCUGUAGCAAUACGGGGAUGGGCGCACGGCGCACGGGUGCGUAACACGUGGGCAAUCUGCCCUCCGAUGGGGAAUAACCCCGCGAAAGCGGGGCUAAUUCCGCAUAACAUUCCUUGGACCAACGUUCGAGGAUUCAAAGCAGUAAUGCGUCGGAGGAGGAGCCCGCGCCCGAUUAGCUAGUUGGUGAGGUAACGGCUCACCAAGGCAAUGAUCGGUAGCCGGUCUGAGAGGAUGGCCAGCCACACUGGAACUGAGACACGGUCCAGACUCCUACGGGAGGCAGCAGUGGGGAAUCUUGCACAAUGGGCGAAAGCCUGAUGCAGCGACGCCGCGUGGGGGAUGAAGCUUCUCGGAGUGUAAACCCCUUUCGACUGGGACGAAUGCCUCGCAAGAGGAGUGACGGUACCAGUAUAAGAAGCCCCGGCUAACUACGUGCCAGCAGCCGCGGUAAGACGUAGGGGGCCAGCGUUGUUCGGAAUUACUGGGUGUAAAGGGUUCGUAGGCGGUGUGGCAAGUUGGGAGUGAAAUCUCUGGGCUUAACCCAGAGGCUGCUUCCAAAACUGCUGUGCUUGAGUGUGAGAGAGGCGCGUGGAAUUGCAGGUGUAGCGGUGAAAUGCGUAGAUAUCUGCAGGAACACCCGUGGCGAAAGCGGCGCGCUGGAUCACUACUGACGCUGA